CUCUGAGCAAAACAGGCAACACAAAUUUCCUCUUGACAAAAGGCUAUAGAUAAGAUCAGAGGAGAAGUGGAGCCUGAAAUGGAAGAGGACAUCCGGUGUCCCCCGGAUCUGGUUCACCACAAAGCUGCCUCCUCCUUGCUGGGGCUUCAGAAUUAAAGUUAGAAGGUGGAAUGAAAUCGUAUUGCUGUUUUCAAAGGCAAGGAGGUGCCUGUGCAAGGCCUCCUGUUAUUUCUUCAGAUCCUCUCCAUCAUCCUGUGAAGUGAGUCUUAAGUAG
ensembl:lncRNA